UACAGAGGUUGCAAGCGUUAAUCGGAUUUACUGGGCGUAAAGCGUGUGUAGGUGGUUAUACAAGUCGGUUGUGAAAUCCCCGGGCUCAACCUGGGAACUGCUUCCGAGACUGCAUGACUAGAGAUCGGUAGAGGGCGGUGGAAUUUCCGGUGUAGCGGUGAAAUGCGUAGAUAUCGGAAGGAACACCAAUGGCGAAGGCAGCCGCCUGGGCCUGAUCUGACACUGAGACGCGAAAGCGUGGGGAGCGAACCGG
rnacentral:rRNA from 1 species